CGAACAAGGAUGAGCAUGUGCAAUGGGUAGAGGAUAGGGUGAGGGCAUGGCAAGCUUCCAAGUGGAUAAUCUCCCCUCCCCCUCCCCCCGCUAUAUGCAAACAAGGAGAUAACGAAAGUGAAGAGCUGAAAAAGCGCUUAUCCCAAAUACUGUAUUUAUGUACAGUGCAUUGUGUUUGCAAUCAUGACUGGGAAUGAAGCAGUGAUGAGAGAAGUAUUACUGAUCCUUGACUUUUUAAAGAGGCAAGGAAGAAGUACUCCAGGAGACGAGAUACAAAUACAAGAAAGGACUUACUCAUCGAUUUUCUUAAAUGGAAAAGUUUUAAAGGAUGAGGGAAAUGCAGUGCCAAUAAAAAAACAUGGACUACGUGCACAAGCACAUUUGAAGUAUUAGAUUUAUUUUAUGCGAUGCAUGAAAAGAAAGAACCAUUCUUCUAAAAAUCUUAAAUUGCCAAGACCCAACCUCCAUCAGUCGCCCACGUUUAAAAAAAAAAAGAAAAGAAAAGAAAAGAAGAGACAUUUUUAAAGGAAACUUCCCAAAGAAGGGGCCGCUGCACUAAUUCGCCUGUGCGAACAACACCGUGGAUUGAUUACAUUUGCAAAGUUGCUGCCUGAUCCAGCUUCCUUUGAAGGCGACGGCAAAACCACCACAAACUUCAAUGGCAGCUUGAUCGGACGUUUGAGUUGCGCUAGUAUUAGCCCGGCUGGAGCGUCCCUGCCUCCAGUCAUGCUAGUAUGGAUUUACACACGUCUCAUGCUUUUCGAUUUGUGUGUGCAUAGAUACACGGACAUCUCCCUCCCUAGUUCCCGUACAGGAGACCCAUGCUACGUAUGUCGCUAGCUACCUCCAUACAGUUCCCCAUUUUGAAGUAUCCCAUUCUAUUGUGUAACCUAAUCGUAUAUUACUGACAUUACCCAGAGGGCACUAAUCUGAAGUACCAUGAUGACAUCAAUCCGAUGGCCUCUAGGGAAAUACGGCUGGUCCUGUUUGGCAGAUCAGUCCCAGUUUCCUCCCCCCACGCUACCAAUCGCAGUUUGCUAGUUGCUGGCUGGGUUAAUCCGUCCAUGCCUCGAUGCCAAUCAGUCCAGCGAGGAGCAAGAGCAGAGCUAAUAGAUUAAUCCUCCGGUUUCCCAACCCCCCCUCCCGGGAACCCUGCUCUCUCUGAUGCUGCUGCCAGUCAAUGCCGCUAUUCCGGCGAGUAGCAGCUCUAGCGCCCCCAGGCUCGGGUACCGCGAAGGAACAGAGCCGGAGCAGUCUUUCACUCUUGUCUCCGGCGGUAGCUGCUCCAGCCCUACACUCCGCGGCUGAUUUACAUGUUAAUUGUGUCUGGGAAAACUUCUUUAAUUGCCGGAAUUAGGCAGAGCAAACGGAUUGUUUCACAGGCUGAACCAAAUUAAUUCCAGGUUUAGCUCCUUCCCUUAGAGAAACAAACAAUUAAGCUGUCUUGUUUGCUUUAUGGAUAUCGUUGAAAUGUGAGACACGUUGCUUUUCUGGAGAGGGCGGGGUGGGGUUUUCUUUCGCAGGCUGUAUCGCUGUUUUGAAUAUUAAUGUUUAUUAUUUUAUUUUAGAGACGUUCAAGGGGCAGGAUAUUUCUGUUGCUGCUUUUACACACACCAGCCAGUAGUACACUGAUUUAUAAUUGCUUGCUUACCUUUUUCGUAGCCUCUCGCUAAAGAAAGCUGCGCCCUUAGAAUUUUCCAAAUCGGGCUGCAUUACGAUCCAAUUACACAGUUAUCAUUUUAAAACCCUUUCGAUUAUGAGAUGAAACUGUAGUGGAAGCCAAGUGUAAAUCCGCUGGUUGGGGGCUCUAGUACUCUUUUACUAGUGACUAUUUCACAGUAAGGGAAGGAACAGGGGGAAUAAGAGGAAAAGACACUCCUUUCCCCUUUUGCCACUUUCAGGCUGUUCCGGUCUUCUCUGACUGCUGCAGCUAAAACCUAGGGGUUCUAUGGUCAAAAGCCCGCUGCUCAUAGUAUUGACGUUCAGAGUGCUCAAUCCCACUAGGUUUCCAGUUUGAAACAAAGCACUGUUUGGGAUGUGGGAGGGAUGAAAACCACUGUGGAAUCUCUUUACAGUGAGUGUAAUGCAGCUUAGAGAAAUCUCCAUGUGUUACUCAAGGAUCUUAAAUCUGGAUAUGAAACAACCUUUAAUGUCCUGGGAAGGAACUAAACUAUAACCUGAAUUCAUUUGGUGGUUAGAUCAAAACCACCACCUCUUGUUUUGAUCUAACUAGUGUGUGAAUGUUUCCUAACAGUACUUUUACUGUAUAUGUACCCCAUGAAUAGAUUCACAGCACUGCUGUCCUUUCUUUCAACAAUAAUUCUACUGUACUGCAUUGAAUCUUUAGCUCCAUUCUCUUUUAUAUCAAAUUAUUGUUUGGGAAAAUUUAAAAAAAAAGAUACUGGAGCAGAAUAAAAAAAAGUCAGAGACUGGAAAAAUCCAGGUCUGUGUUAAAAACAAACAAACAAACAAACAAACCAAAAACAAAAAAAACCCUCUGCAUGUUUUGAGGUCUUCAGUCUAGUGGUAUGAAUCAAUGCUUUUGAUAGUAAUUUCCAUUUUUGAGUUCUCAACUGCCCCAUAUUGCAAUAACAGCCUCAAGUAAUACAUUUCAGAACCAGAUAAAUUAAAUGAUGGAGUACAGUUUACAGCUAAGGGAUUUACUAUUUGGCCAUAAGAAGCAUGGCAUUAAAAUAAUUACUUCUUUAUGACAACUGUUUUUCUGCCUUUUACUUUUAGAUAAUGAAAGGACUGCUAGAAAUUGGCUUUGCUGUGGCAUUUAUUUUAGGAUAUAAAGUUACACAAAUUCAUUCAAUUUCUAGCUGUUAGAUUACAAGGAAAAAGACUUUUCUGGUAUCAAGCAUAUUUUCUCCCUCCACCCACAACAGUUUAAGUCGAAUAUAUGCUUAGAGUAAUUUUCUAACCAAAGAAAGAGACUUUAUAUAUUUAAUAUAUCUUUUCACUGGAAAUAUAAAGCAAGAUAGCUCAGCACCAAGCAGAAUCAUUUCUGAAGAUGGAUAAAUUUUAACUAAGCAAUGUUACCCUAAAUCUGAAAUUAGAGAAACUGAAGUAGUACAGUACCUAUGAUUUGGGUAUCAAAUACAGUGUCAGGGAUGAAGCCAGAUGAAUGGGACAUGAUUGGUGAGUGCCCUACCCCCAUUUCCCUAAAGAGGCACCAGACUGAUAGUGCUAUUUGUUUAAGUCCAAUUCUACACCAGGGAGCAAAGUCGAACUUAAGUAUGGAACUCCACCUAUGUGAACAGUAUAGGUGGAGUCAGCGUGCCUUCCUUUGACUUAGUGGUGUCCCCACUGUGGAAGGUCAACAGGAGAAACUCUUCCAUCAACUUCCCUUACUCCUCAUGACCCAGUGAAGUACUGAAGUUGAUGGGAGCAUGAUCAGUGGUUGAUUUAGUGUUUCCUUACCUACUCAACCAACCCCUGGGAGAUCAAUCUCUGUAGCAUCAGUCUCCUGGUAAAUGAAGACAAGGCCUAAGUCACCAGAAAUAGAAAAAUUGAAAUAAUAUCUCCCUCCCCCUAUCCCCACCGAUGGAGGCUAUCUAUUCAACAAUAUGCAAUAUUUACAUUCAAUUCUGUAUUACUUGGGCUCCCAAGAUUCCAUUGACUUCCUUAGAAGUUUGAAAGGGAAGUACAACAAGAUCUAGCCUGCACUGUAUACUUCAUGCUCUUCACUAAAACUUCAGAAAUGCUCUCACUCACUCUCCUCUCUUCAGCAUAGAAAAGACUCUCAAAUGGAGGUGGGUGGAGUAUUUUAAACUUAUUCUCAUGAAUGAAGGCCAGAUUUUUAGAUUUCAAAAGGCUUUGCAAGAAAAUGCAGCUGAGAAACCUAUUUCCUUAUUUACUAAACAUUAUUAUUAGUGAAAAGUUAUAUCUAAGCUCUUUUGUAAAACUGCUUCCUAUCCAACCAUUUUCUGUUUCCUUCAUUUCCCUACUUCCAAUCUGCACUAAUGUAUUUCUUUCAAAUCUCACAUUCAAAAAAACUUCCUGCUUCAGCCUCAGAAACUCACCUUUAAUUUCCUCUCCCCUUACUCCAUUCUCAGCUGACUAGAACCAGUCUGCAAAAUUACCUAUUUGCAUCUUCACUGCUUUAAACUUUUUCCCCUUUUGCUUAACUUUGUCUCUAUUUUUGCUCUCUCAAUACCCAACCCAGUGAAGCAUUUUUUCUCCUUUGUUUCUUCUACCUUUGAGAGCAUUGUGCUAUUUUUAAUAGUGUAACAGCAGCCUUCACACUAUUUUGUGGUGGAGUUUGAUCUUCUGAAAACUGACACACAAAUCCUGUUCACCUUAACAAGUAACUUGCUGGGCCUGUGAACAGGAAUAUGAGGAGGAGAGGAAGAUUUGGACCCUUUAGCCUAUUUUAUUGUAGGGUAAAAGUACUGGUUAAAUUCACAACUUAGGUGCCUAAUUGCCACUAAAUAUGCCUAAAUCCCAGCAUUAGACCACUAAGGGUACAUCUAUACAGCAGCAUUAUUUUGGAAAGACUGACAUUAUUCCAAAAU